rnacentral:lncRNA from 1 species
UUUCCGUCGUGUGGGCACUCCAUAUAUAUGUGACUGACCCCCGUUAAACCCUGGUCACUAGGGCUCGGGUGAGCUUCAUAUGAACUGUCACAUGCCAUGCUGGAGAAUGCGGUCUGUCCAGACAGCUCCCCGGGAGAGUACAGUCGGAAGUUCUUGCCAGUGAUUUUAACCUGCAUCCUUCACUGCAAUCAACCAUGAUCAUGAGUAUCAAGGCUUUUCUGAAUUCUCUGAGUCCUCCCAGGAGAUCGCUGAACUUGAGAGUGGUCCUAGGGCCUCUCAAUCUGCUUCUUAGAGGGGCAUUGAGCAUUAAGUGGGAUGUUAUGGUCAGUAGAAUAAUCUUCCUGACAAUUUGAUGAGAAUGGACGUUUUACAUACAAUGAGGCUGAGGGGCUGGCUUGCCCAGGGUGACCUGGAUGUGCUGCUGGCCCUUUGGCUCCCCGCCUGAGCUCCAUCCCCUGGAGUUCCUGCAAGGGAACACCGCCUGCUCCUUCCUCCCAUUCCUGCAGAGCAUGCACACUCACCUUGGCCUGAUCCUGAGCGUCCUUCCUCCUCGCCCAGAUCACCACCAGCACGUAGGCGAGGCACAGGCAGCCCACGGUGGUCACAACCACGGGGUUGUCCUCGAAGGUGGCAAAGAGCUCGGCGGUCUGGCGGACGUCGAUGGCGUUGGGCAUCACCAGGAACGUGCUUCCAAAGAAGUCCUGGCCCUGGGACACCCACUUCUAGACUAUGGUUUGGGAUCUGGACCUGGAAUUCCUUGCUUCUAGCGCCUGAACAGGACUUCUUCUCAGGAUCACACUUCUCUGGUGGACUGGCCACUGAUGUGCCCACCCCUGGGCAUGGGGGCCCAGGACGUGGCUGGGGUGCAAGGUGUGUGUUUGGAGCUUGGGUGCGGGGUCCCCUGUGGUAUAGGACCAUGAGAUUGGGGUGGGGGUGGGGAGACAGGAAUGGACCAGGGCUGGGACCAGGAAUGGACCCAUCUGUGUUCUUUUUUUUUUUUUUUUUUUUUUCCAUCUGUGUUCUUAAUUCACACCUUGCACUUAGGCCUUUCCUAAAUCCUUCUGUCAACUUUCAGUCACCCUCCCCCAGGGCCACUUGGUGGGCAGAGAUUGUGUCCAAAUCAACUCAGCACCACGUUUCAUUCCAGAGCCUUCCAGGAGGCGGUAAGGUAGGAGGGAGCAGGAAACCCUGGCGUGCAGCAGGUUCUCUGCUCUGCGCAUGAGGAGAACCGCUGCAGCCCACAGAGCCCCAGCCGGUGACUCUUGUCUCUUCCAUAAGGAGCCGCCCAGCCAGGGGGUCACAUGGGCAUGACACCAACUGUUUACUGACAGAUUUCACACGGAUCUUAGUUCCAUGUUUGCUCCGCUGUUUUUUUGUUUCCCAUGCCUGGUCAGCACUCGGCACGCAGCUGUGGG